UACGGGGGGGGUAAGCGUUGUUCGGAAUUACUGGGCGUAAAGGGCUCGUAGGCGGCCAACUAAGUCGGACGUGAAAUCCCUCAGCUUAACUGGGGAACUGCGUCCGAUACUGGAUGGCUUGGAUUUGGGAGAGGGAUGCGGAAUUCCAGGUGUAGCGGUGAAAUGCGCAGAUAUCAGGAGGAACACCGGUGGCGAAGGCGGGUCUCUGGGCCGAUACUGACGCUGAGGAGCGAAAGCGUGGGGAGCGAACAGG
rnacentral:rRNA from 1 species